rnacentral:misc_RNA from 1 species
AAGUCGUAACAAGGUAACCGUAGGUGAACCUGCGGUUGGAUCAUUAACAAAUUAAAAUAGAAGAUCUCUUCAAAAAAGAGUUUCUAUCUACCACAUUUUGUGAACCUUUUAUGUCUCUGGUGUGUGAAAUGUUCAGUUUCUAUCUUUGUGAAGAACUGUAUUACGCACACCAAUAUAACAUUUUAUAAACUUUUGUUUCAAAAACUUUAAAAGCCUAAAAAAGUAGAAAUAACAAAAUUAAAAAACAACUUUUGACAACGGAUCUCUAGGCUCUC